GCAGGGUGAGGUGGUGCACGCCUGUAAUCCCGGAGGCUCGGGAGGCUGAGGCAGGAGGAUUGCGAGUUCAAAGGCAGCCUCUGGAGAGGCCUUAAGCAACUCAGUGAGACCCUGUCUGUA
rnacentral:sRNA from 1 species